rnacentral:lncRNA from 1 species
CCAGAGCCCAUGAAGGCCAGAAGAAGAAACAAUUGAAUCCCCUGGAACUGGAGUUAAAGAUACAGUUGUGAGCUUCCAUAACGUUCAUCCAGUAGCUGAUGGAAGCAGAAGCAGACACCCACAGCUAAGCACUGAGCUGAAUUCCUGGAAUCCAGUUGUAGAGAGGGAGGAGUGAUGAGCAAAGGGAUCAAGACCAGGCUGGAGAAACCCAUAGAAACAGCUGACCUGAACAAUUGGCCCCAGACUGAUAGCUGGAAAACAAGCAUAGGAUAAAACCAGGCCCCCUGAAUGUGGAUGUCAGUAAGUGUCCCGCGUGAUAGUCUUGCCGGCAAGAACCACACAGGACAUUCGGAUCCUUCUGCAGUAAAGCUUUAAUGCGUCUUGAGAGGAGAGCAUAAGCUUACCAGAGCGGAGACCCCGAGCCAAGAAUCCCGUCCCCUAAUAAAGGCUGGCAACCGCCGCCUGGGACGUGUUACCCCAUGAUUGGCUGUAGCUCAUCGGACCAUAUGACGUCACGGAAUAGGCAGAGAUCAAGGAAUGGAAAGUUACCCAGCGCCUGCGCGCAUUAACUUGUUUACAUUCAAUGCCUGCCGGAUGCAGGCGCCAUCUUGUAAUGGAGAAUGCAGGGACGGCUCCCUACAAGUAAGGAGGCCUGGGCAAUCUGUGGGGCCUCUGGUAGUGUAUCAGUAUACAAAUGGACUUUGGGAACCCAUUCCCCAUAGAGGAAUACUCUCUCAGCCUAGACACACGGGGGAGGGCCUAGGCCCUGCUCCAAAUGAUGGGACAGACUUUUGAUGAUUCCCCAAUGGAAGGCCUCACCCUCCCUGGGGAGUAGAAGGGGCAUGGGAUGGGGGGUCAGUGUGGGGCAUGGGAGGAUGGGAGGGAGAGGGAAUUGGGAUUGAUAUGUAAAAUACAUUGUUUCUAAAUUAAAUAAAAAAUAACAAAAAAGCUUUAGCAUUGUUCUUUAUUUGUAUUACUUUAAAUUGCUUAUCAUCAUCAUCAUCAUCAUCAUUAUGUGUGUGCAUGCUCCUGUCACAGUGUCAUGUGGAGUUAGUCAGAGGACAGCUUUCAGGAAUUGGUUCUCUUCUUCCACUGUGAGUUGGUGGGGAUCAAAUUGAG